rnacentral:rRNA from 1 species
UACAGAGGGGGCUAGCGUUGUUCGGAAUUACUGGGCGUAAAGGGCGCGUAGGCGGCCCGUUAAGUUAGAAGUGAAAUCCCAGGGCUUAACCCUGGAAUUGCUUUUAAUACUGACAGGCUUGAGAUCGGUAGGGGAUAGUGGAAUUCCUAGUGUAGGAGUGAAAUCCGUAGAUAUUAGGAGGAACACCAGUGGCGAAGGCGGCUAUCUGGACCGAUUCUGACGCUGAGGCGCGAAAGUGUGGGGAGCAAACAGG